rnacentral:rRNA from 1 species
AAGAAAGUAAGUAAGGGCAUACGGCGGAUGCCUUGGCUUCUAGAGGCGAAGAAGGACGUGAUAAGCUGCGAAAAGCUACGGGGAGGUGCACAUGACCAUAGAUCCGUAGAUAUCCGAAUGGGGCAACCCACCUAGUUGAAGACUAGGUACUCGAAAGAGAGCUAACCCGGAGAACUGAAACAUCUAAGUACCCGGAGGAAGAGAAAACAAUAGUGAUUCCCCUAGUAGUGGCGAGCGAACGGGGAAUAGCCCAAACCGAAUUUGUUUCGGCAAGUUCGGGGUUGUAGGACCAAGUUAUAUGAUGCAUCAUUAAGUGGAACUGUCUGGAAAGUCAGAUCAAAGAGGGUGAUAAUCCCGUACACGCAACGUGGUGUUAUUGUUAUUGGUAUCCUGAGUAGGGCGGGACACGUGAAAUCCUGUCUGAAACUGCCAGAACCAUCUGGUAAGGCUAAAUACUCCUAGAAGACCGAUAGUGAACAAGUACCGUGAGGGAAAGGUGAAAAGCACCCUGAAUAAGGGAGUGAAAUAGUACCUGAAACCGUAUGCUUACAAGCGGUCGGAGCAUCAUAAGGUGUGACGGCGUGCCUUUUGCAUAAUGAUCCUACGAGUUGCUCCUCACUAGCGAGGUUAAGAAUUUAAGAUUCGAAGCCGAAGCGAAAGCGAGUCUGAAUAGGGCGUGCAGUUAGUGGGGGCAGACGCGAAACCAAGUGAUCUACCCAUGGGCAGGUUGAAGCUCUGGUAACACAGAGUGGAGGACCGAACCGGUUGACGUUGAAAAGUCUUCGGAUGACCUGUGGGUAGGGGUGAAAGGCUAAUCAAACUUGGAAAUAGCUCGUACUCCCCGAAAUGCAUUUAGGUGCAGCCUCGGAGAUGAGUGUUAUAGAGGUAGAGCUACUGGUUGGAUGCGGGGGUUUCAUCGCCUACCAAAUCCUGUCAAACUCCGAAUGCUAUAACAUGCUCUUCGGGAGUGAGGGCAUGGGUGCUAAGGUCCAUGUCCGAGAGGGAAAGAACCCAGACCAUCUGCUAAGGUCCCCAAAUGUAUACUAAGUUGAUCAAACGUGGUCAGACUGCAUUGACAGCUAGGAUGUUGGCUUGGAAGCAGCCAUUCAUUUAAAGAGUGCGUAACAGCUCACUAGUCGAGCGGUCCGGCGUGGAUAAUAAUCGGGCAUUAAGUAUACUACCGAAGCAAUGGACUCGAAAGAGUGGUAGGGGAGCAUUCUAUUUGCGCCGAAGGUGAACUGCGAGGUUUGCUGGAGCGGAUAGAAAAGAAAAUGUAGGAAUGAGUAACGAUAAUGCGGGUGAGAACCCCGCACGCCGAUAGACUAAGGUUUCCUCAGCAAUGCUAAUCAGCUGAGGGUUAGUCGGGUCCUAAGGCGAACCCGAAGGGGGUAGUCGAUGGAUAACUGGUUAAUAUUCCAGUACUUGUAUAUACUGCGAUGGGGGGACGAAGUUGUGACAAUCCCGCGGCCUGACGGAAUAGGUCGUUAAAGCGAGUAGAUAAUGGUUUGGUAGUUAAAUGCGCCAGACUAGUCGAACGUGAUAGUACUCCAAGUCUUCGGAUGCGGAGAUAGUGGAUGUAAUCGUACUUCCUAGAAAAACCUCUAAGCUUCAGGUAUAUACAACCCGUACCGUAAACCGACACAGGUAGUCAAGGAGAGAAUCCUAAGGCGCUCGAGUGAAUCGUGGCUAAGGAACUAGGCAAAAUAGUCCUGUAACUUCGGGAGAAAGGACGCCUACUUCGGUAGGCCGCAGUGAAUAGGCCCAGGCGACUGUUUAUCAAAAACACAGGACUCUGCGAAAUCGAAAGAUGAAGUAUAGGGUCUGACACCUGCCCGGUGCUGGAAGGUUAAGAGGAGGUGUUAUCUUCGGAGAAGCACUGAAUUGAAGCCCCAGUAAACGGCGGCCGUAACUAUAACGGUCCUAAGGUAGCGAAAUUCCUUGUCGGGUAAGUUCCGACCUGCACGAAUGGUGUAACGAUCUGGGCACUGUCUCGGCCACGAGCUCGGUGAAAUUGUAGUAUCGGUGAAGAUGCCGAUUACCCGCAGCGGGACGAAAAGACCCCGUGAACCUUCACUACAGCUUAGUAUUGACUUCGGACAAAUAAUGUGUAGCAUAGGUGGGAGACUAUGAAGCUGUGUCGCUAGGCAUGGUGGAGUCGCCGUUGAAAUACCACCCUUUAUUUGUUUGGAGCCUAACCCCGCAAGGGGGACAGUGCUUGGUGGGUAGUUUGACUGGGGUGGUCGCCUCCAAAAGAGUAACGGAGGCUUCUAAAGGUACCCUCAGCACGCUUGGUAACCGUGCGUAGAGUGCAAUGGCAUAAGGGUGCUUGACUGUGAGACCUACAAGUCGAUCAGGUACGAAAGUAGAGCAUAGUGAUCCGGUGGUUCCGUAUGGAAGGGCCAUCGCUCAAAGGAUAAAAGGUACUCCGGGGAUAACAGGCUGAUCUCCCCCAAGAGCUCACAUCGACGGGGGGGUUUGGCACCUCGAUGUCGGCUCGUCACAUCCUGGGGCUGGAGAAGGUCCCAAGGGUUGGGCUGUUCGCCCAUUAAAGUGGCACGCGAGCUGGGUUCAGAACGUCGCGAGACAGUUCGGUCUCUAUCUGCUGUGGGCGUAAGAAAUUUGAGGGAAUCUGACUUUAGUACGAGAGGACCGAGUUGGACGUACCGCUAGUGUACCUGUUGUGGCGCCAGCUGCACCGCAGGGUAGCUAUGUACGGAAGGGAUAAGCGCUGAAAGCAUAUAAGCGCGAAGCCCAUCCCGAGAUGAGAUUUCUCUUAAGGGUCGUUCGAGACUAGGACGUUGAUAGGCUACAGGUGUAAAGGCAGUAAUGUCAUAGCCGAGUAGUACUAAUUACCCGUGAGCUUUCUUCC